UUCACAAACCUAAAUCUGCGAUCAGCUGGUCAACGCCAGAAGAUUAACCCUUAGCGGGUGACGCGGGGGUCCCAUCAGUCCACCGUAUUUGGUCGAGUGAUUUGUGGAAAAUAUUGUUUAUUGUUUAUGUCCCGGGGACCCUUAACAAGAGCACUUGGUAGGUCAGGUCUCCGUAGGGGCCCGAGUUAAAUUAACUCCCGUAAGACGGAUCCAGUCUCCACUCAUCUACACAUAUUCCAGUACGAAUGGGUGAGGGUAUCCCUGUUGGUUAAACGAAAUUUCAGCAGUUAUUUCCGUGUUUGUCUUUGUGUCGAACGUUUUGGUGUUUCUUUUUGGUUAGGGAUAAUUUUGAGUAUAGCUAUUUAUUAAUAAGAAAUUUGAAAUUGUCAAUGUAUAAUUAUUAAAGCUUGGAUAUAGACUGAAGUAUGAUGCAUUAAAUUUAAAAUAGAGGGAGGACGCGUGGCGUAAGCCAUGGAUUAGGCCAGCCGUUACCGUUCCAGCAGAGGGUGGCCAAAAUGAACGUUGUGUUUGGUCACAGGUAGGGCGGGCGCGCGAAGUGGUAACACCCAAGCUUCACCCACUUGAUAGCCGUCUGUUUAUGAUUUUCUUUGUUGUUGUUAGGUUGUUGUUAGUUUUGAUGUCCCGACAAGUAGUAUGUCUCCUUUUUUGUCUACAUUUGGCGGGCAAGGGGAACUACCCAGCCCUGGGGUCGACAGCUAGCCGGCAUUGCCCUCUGGGAAACAAGCUAAAUGUAACAAGUGAGAAAAUUGGCAUAAAAAGGGGUAAAUGAAACAAUGGAAAAAUGAAUGACUAUACCUACAAUUUAAAAGUAGCAAAGGAUUACAAUUGGUUAUUAAUGGAAUCGAAUCAACAGUCAAAAUGGCUAUGAACAUAAUAAAUACAAAUAAAAUUCUUUAAUCAAUGCACUAUGGUCCAGAAUUCUUUUUUUUUACAUAAAGUCGAAAGUUUUAUGUGAAUGGAUUACUUUUUUCUUACAAAUUCUCAAAGUAAAUUCAUACAUAUUAAAAAUUAAAAAAUAUAUGUAUAAAGGUUCCCUGAAGCUUUUUGCAAGCUUUUGAAAGUGAAUAAUCGAUCAGCCGAUUGUGAGAAAAAAAUUGGCUCCAAAUUACUUGUUUACAUUUUUACAUGGCGAUCGAGUAAAUUUGCUCAAAUAAAUUCGGCUAAAAAUUGAAAAUGAAGAUAAAGAAUAUAACAAAUGAACUGAGUUCUGAGAAAAAAUAACUACGAAAGUUCGAAUUUUUACAUAGCGAUCUCAUCGGUAUUUGGCGCAAAAACAACCGAUAAAAAGCUGUCUCAAAUUGGAUUUACAGUAAAAUCAAUAACAACCAUUGGAAAAAUGAAGAAACAUGUAAUAGAUUACAAAAAAAAUCAGUAAUUUUUAAUCCUUCAUUAAAAGAGACCUUCUGAAGUGCAAAAAAAUUAUAACCACCCAUGCUUAAUGAAUAGCUUCUAAAAUAACAA